GAUGAACGCUGACAGAAUGCUUAACACAUGCAAGUCUACUUGAAGCUAACUUCGGUUAGUGGAGGGUGGCGGACGGGUGAGUAACGCGUAAAGAACUUGCCUCACAGACUGGGACAACAUCUGGAAACGGAUGCUAAUACCGGAUAUUAUGAUUCUUCUGCAUGGAAGGAACAUGAAAGCUAUAUGCGCUGUGAGAGAGCUUUGCGUCCCAUUAGCUAGUUGGAGAGGUAACGGCUCACCAAGGCGAUGAUGGGUAGCCGGCCUGAGAGGGUGAACGGCCACAAGGGGACUGAGACACGGCCCUUACUCCUACGGGAGGCAGCAGUGGGGAAUAUUGGACAAUGGACCAAAAGUCUGAUCCAGCAAUUCUGUGUGCACGAUGAAGUUUUUCGGAAUGUAAAGUGCUUUCAGUUGGGAAGAAGCAAGUGACGGUACCAACAGAAGAAGCGACGGCUAAAUACGUGCCAGCAGCCGCGGUAAUACGUAUGUCGCAAGCGUUAUCCGGAUUUAUUGGGCGUAAAGCGCGUCUAGGCGGCUACAUAAGUCUGAUGUGAAAAUGCGGGGCUCAACUCCGUAUUGCGUUGGAAACUGUGUGGCUAGAGUACUGGAGAGGUAAGCGGAACUACAAGUGUAGAGGUGAAAUUCGUAGAUAUUUGUAGGAAUGCCGAUGGGGAAGCCAGCUUACUGGACAGAUACUGACGCUAAAGCGCGAAAGCAUGGGUAGCAAACAGG
rnacentral:rRNA from 1 species